GAAAUGCGAUAAGUAGUGUGAAUUGCAGAAUUCAGUGAAUCAUCGAAUCUUUGAACGCACGUUGCGCCCCUUGGUAUUCCAUGGGGCAUGCCUGUUCGAGCGUCAUUUGUACCUUCAAGCUUUGCUUGGUGUUGGGUGUUUGUCUCGCCUCUGCGUGUAGACUCGCCUCAAAACAAUUGGCAGCCGGCGUAUUGAUUUCGGAGCGCAGUACAUCUCGCGCUUUGCACUCAUAACGACGACGUCCAAAAGUACAUUUUUACACUCUUGACCUCGGAUCAGGUAGGGAUACCCGCUGAACUUAAGC
rnacentral:misc_RNA from 1 species